UGCUUCCAAAGAAAUGUGUAAAAGAACUUCAAUAUUCUUGUAACGACAACCGUCGAUGAGCAUACAAAUCAGAGAAAAAUUCAUCUAACAUUGGUAUAAAUUCGUCUAACAUUGGUAUCAUUUGAGAUAAAUUCUAAUUUUAAAAAUCAAACUAUCAAGAUCAAACUAUAAUAAAAUUAUAAAAUAAAAAAUAUACCUUUAAAUUUAAAAUCCAUAUUUCUAAUAAACGUUAUCAAGUUUUUAUAAUUGUCCUGAUAAGAACGGUUAUGUGGAAAGCUAUUAACUUCUCUAAAUAAUUCACAAUUGACAUUGCCGAUCCAUGUUUUCUUUAUAUCACGGAAAUAGUCAGAUAUAUACCUAACUCUGUAAAAAUCAUAGUCAGAUAUAUACCUAGGCGUCGCAUAGGCGGUCAUGCGCUCCAGGUCGGAUCCGCCUAACCCAAUAACCCAUUUAAAUGACUUAAGUCAUUUAAAUAAAAGGGUGAGGGUUUAAAAAACCUUAACUCCUCUCUUAUUUCUUCUUUCUUCCUCUUUUCUUCCCUUCCCUCAUACAUUUGAACCCCAAACCCUAGAUUUUCAGAUCAUCUCCCCCAUCUAUUUUCUCCGGCCAUCUUCUAGGGAGACUUCGGCCACCACAAGGGAACACUCCGGCGACCUCCACACGUGCUCCGACGAAGUCUAGGCAUGCUCCGGCGACCCUCCGGCCAUCGUCGACCUAGGUAUUUUUUGUCCCAAAUUUUUUUCCUAUGUGCCCCCUAUCUGUCCAAACCUAUAUCUCACUCCGGACAGUCAUAAAUCGCACUCCGGCACUCUUAAAGAACACUCCGGCGAUCACUUAAAAAAACACUCCGGACUUUUCUUGACCAUAUCAGGUGGGAAAGAGUUGGUGAGAUGCGGAGUCACAAGAUUCGCAACGUCUUUUCUCACAUUACAGAGUUUGAAAGAACAGAGGGAAAAUUUGAAGAAGAUUGAUUGGCUACCAUGGGCUAAUGUGACUUGUGGAAGUGAAGUGCAAAAAUUAGUCUGAACCAACUCUUUCUGGUUGAGCCUAUACGAGUGUUUGGCCGUUUCUGAACCUCUAGUGAGGUUGCUGAGAUUAGUUGACCAAGAUGACAAACCAUGCAUGGGCAGAAUUCUGAAUGACUUGAAGAUGGCAAGGAAGCACACUAGAGAUAUGUUGAAAGACAAGAAUCUGCCAUUGCUAACCCAAAUUGACAAGAUCUUCGAUAAGAGUAGGUUUGCUGAAAUGCUUCUCCCAACGCUUAACCCGGAUUUCGGUCGAUUCGACAAGAUUCGACCCGGAUCCGCCUAACCCGCUCCAGCGCAUGACCGCCUAGGCGUCGCAUGAAAAACUAUGGUCAUGACCACCGCAUGAACACAUGAAAAAGCUUGGUAAAAAUCAAGGUUUAAAAACCGACGGUUAACCGGCUGACCGGUAAAAAAUUAAAAACCGGUGGCCGGUUAAUUGGGACGGGUAAAUGGGUUGAUGGGUCGGGUCUUACCCGAACCCAACCCGAAUACCCAACCCGGUUUCAAUAAAAUAAUAUUUAUUUAAUCUGUUUUAAUUUGUUUUUUUUAAAGACUUCAUUUAAUAAAGCCCAUUACGUUUUAUUAAUAAGUUAUUUUAAGGCCUCAUUUAAAGGCCUUAUUUUAAUAAGUUUAAAUUUUAUAAGCCUCUCCUUAUAAGUUAUUAGACCUCAUUUGAAUUACUAUUUUGAAUUACUAUAUUGUUUAUGAUAUUUUUAUUUAUAUAAACAUGGAUAUAAACAUGGAAUAGAUAUAUAAGUAUAUAACAGAAUUUCUGUUUUAAAAAAAAAUUACGAAAAUACCCCUAUCGGUUAACCAGUGGUCUAACCGGUAAGCCAGAACCGAUUACCGGUUAACCGGUUUUUAAACCUUGGUAAAAAUAAAGAUAAAAGAAUUGAUAUUAGUUUAAAAGUUCAACAAAUAUAUUAUAUUCUAUUAUUAAUUUAAAAUACCUAUAUUCAUGACCAUAUAUCUUAAAAUGUUCAUUCAACCUUUUCAAAGUCUUCACAUUUUUGUAUGUGACCACAAUGUUCAAAACAUUGAAUAUUCUGCAAUUAAAAAUAAAUAUUAUAUGAAUAUUUCAUUUUUAAUAUAUAAUAUAAACUAAAAAUAAAUGACUUACGAGUUAAAUUUAUUUAAGCUUCCAAAGAAAUGUGUAAAAGAGCUUCCAUAUUCUUGUAAUGACAACCGUCGAUGAGCACACAAAUCAGAGAAAAAAUCAUCUAAUAUUGGUAUAAAAUCAUCUGUAUCAUUUGAGAUAAAUUCUAAUUUAAAAAAUCAAACUAUCAAAAUCAAACUAUAAUGAAACUAUAAAAUAAAAAAUAUACCUUUAAAUUUUAAAUUCAUUGUUGACGAUAACGUUGUAAUAUAAAAAGUCCCUUUUUGACGAAAAUAGAAUUUGUUGUAAGCUUAAUCGGGAACAUUUCAUUACUUUCAGAGUGAGAUAAUCCAUUGAAAAUAUUUCUAUAUAAAAAAGAUCAAUUAAAAAAAAUUAACGUUAUAUAAAAUUAUGUAAUAAAAUACCUUAAUAUUUCACUCAAUGCGUUAUAAUAUGCAUCUUUUACUUCUUUCAGCUCUUCUAUAUAUCUGUAUAGGGUUAUUGUUUUUGGAUAUAUAACAUAAGUAAUACAUUUAUGCACGAAUGUAUCAAAUACUAAUAGGCAGUUUUUCAUAUAAAAAAAUUGUUCAGAAGUAGAUAUUUUUAUACCAUCGAUAUUUUUUAAUAUAUAUCCCUGAAAUACUCCGACUUCCGCAUUUUCAGUUAUAAGAAGAGUUGAAUAAACAUAAGCUGAAGCUGUUUGACAUAAAUACAUGGCGUUAACCUAAAUAUAGAUUUAAAUAUGGAAAUAAUAAUAAAUAUAUAAAAUAACUAAAAAAAUCUAUUUUUUUAUUUUUUUUGAGAAAUUAAAACUUUCAUUACUGAAAAGAGGUUGAGUAUGGCCCAAGAUUACAGAAUAAUAUAGGGCAAUGCAAGUACAGUAAAUGUAAAAAUAUUGUCCAUCUCUUAUGCAGCUAUGAUCCUGACUAACUGGCCAAGGAUUGAAGCUUCAAGAGGUUGGACUCCCAUGAGCGUAUAGCUUGUAUUUCAAUCUGUGAAAGAUUGUGCUUUUUAUAAGAUGUAGAAUCAUAUGUAAUGCUCGCAUCCUUUAUAAUUUCUCUGCUGACAAUUUCUGGAGGCCUUAGGGUGUGUUGUUUUAAUCUUCUAUUCCUUUCACACCAUAUGUGCCAGGAAAGAGAUGCUAGCAUAGUCCAGUGUACCCCCAAACAACUGGACUUGUGGGUGAAUUUUUGUAUUGUUUUCAUAAUAUCCCAUAUCCUAAUAUCUAUUGUGGGAGGUGGGGAAUUUUACCCAUUAAGUGUCCAAACAACAUUGUUAAACCAGCUAGUGGUCUCUAGUGUAAUGACAGUUAAAGUAUAGGUGUUGUAAUGUUUCUUCCUCAUUUCCACAUAGUGGGCAGGACGUAUUUAUGUUGAGUCCCCAGCUUUGCAGUCUAGUUAAAGUGUUCAAACUCUUGACCUUAAUUCUCCACAAGAGCAUAAAAAAUUUUGGAGGCUUUUUGGCCCAGAUCCCUAGAUUUAUCUCUUGUAAGAUGCCUUUGGGCCUUAAUGUUUCUGAGUGCAUGGAGGAGGCAAUUUGUGUGACCCUAUAGUUACUCAAGCAGUUUAUACAUUUCCUUAUUGUUUCCUUAUUAGCUAGUAUAGUUUUCCACAUGUGUGAGUCCAGAGUAGGCCUACACUCUAUCUCCCCAAUGCUUCUUCCUUUGAUGUACCUAAUUUUUACCCAAUCUGCUAGUAUGGAGUUAUUAGGACUCCACAUCCUCUCUGUUUUUUUAACCAAAGCUGCAGCAUUAGUUGCAAAGAAAUCCCUGGCCCCUAUUCCGCCUUCGCUCUUUGGGAGUGCCAUUUUUGCCCAACUACUCCCUCUUCUCCCGUCCCAAAUGAAAUUGUAAGCUAGGCUCUGGAUCUUUUUAAUGACUGUGCAUGGCAAUGUGGUUCGGUUUACCCAGUAUUGAAACUUACCUUGUAGGACCCAAUUUACUAAUUGGGUUCUGCCUACGUAAGACAGACAUCUCCCUUUCCAUCUGGCUAACAUUUUUUCUAUUGGAUUUAUUAACUUCCAACAUGUCGCGUGAGAUUUCUUUCUUCCUGUUAUUGGGAGACCAAGAUAGUUGAUAGGGAAGGGUUUAGUUGGAAAGUUGAGAAUGUUAUGCAGAUAAUGAUCAUUCAUGCAUACUUUUGAGUAGGUUGCCGAGCUCUUCUCCUGAUUAAUCUCGAGGCCUGAGAAUUUGGAAAAAGUCUCUAGGAUUUUCUUGAUUGUUUCUAAAGACUUGGGAUUUGCUUUUGAGAAGAUCAACACAUUAUCCGCGUACAUGAGAUGCGAGAUGGAAACCACUCCAUUCACGAUAUAAGUAUCCAUCCUUUUAUCUUUGAUCUCUCUCUAUUAGUCUACUAAGAUUAUCCAUUAUCAGGUCGAAUAAGAUAAGAGACAAUGGAUCCCCCUGCCUGAUUCCUCUAAAGUUAGUGAAGGAGGGAGUGGGAGAUCCCUCCACCAGUACCGAAAAGGAGGCUGUGGAUAUACAGUUAUGUACCAAUUUGCACAACAGAGGGUUGAAUCCCAUUGUGUCAAGGGUGUGUGUGAUUGCUUGCCAUUUCACUGUAGAGGGUUGAAUCCCAUUGUGUCAAGGGUGUGUGUGAUUGCUUGCCAUUUCACUGUAUCGAAUGCACCAUCUCGUCUGCCAAGAUAAUGUUAUCUGAGAUGCUUCUUCCUGCUAUGAAAGUUGUUUGGUGAUGAGAUAUUAACUCGGAAGAGACCUUGGAGAUCCUAUCAGCCAAGAUUUUGGUGAGAAGUUUAUAAAUUAAGUUGACACAGGAGAUUGGCCUAAAAUCCGAUAAUUCGGUAGUUGUGGGUUUUUUUGGGAUAAGAGUGAUAAAUGUGUGAUUAAUUGACUUCAAUAUGGGUUUGCCGCUGAAGAACUCUCUGACACAAGCUAGGAUUGUUUGUUUUAGUUCCGGCCAGAGAGCUUUGAAGAAACCCACUGUGAAACCAUCAGGUCCUGGGGAUUUCCCCAUUUGAAAUGCGAACAAGGUGGAUUUGACUUCCUCUUCUGUGGGUUGUUGAGUCAACCAUAUGUUCAUAUCUUGAGAUACAAUCCUAGGGAAAAUAACGGGAGAUGGUAUAUCUGGGAAGGGAGAAGUCUUGUAGAUAUCCUUAAAGUAAUCCACACUCCUUUUUUCUAAUUGGGCUCUUGAGAUGACUACCCUACCCUUUCCAUUUAUUAAUUUUAGAGUUGAGUUCUUUGCCUUAUCUUUGUAGUAAGACUAAAGAACUUAGUGUUUGAGUCUCCUAAUCUAAGCCAGCUGACCUUGCUCCUUUGUUUUUGGUUAGCCUCCUUUAUUUUGAGUUUAUUGACUAACUCCUCCUGCUUCUUUUUGACCUCUUCUUGGAUAGAAGGGACUAUUGGGCUAGUGUUUAGUUGCUUCACCAAGGAAUCAAGUUCCUCCUUAGUGGUUGUGAUCUGUUUUGCAUCACUACCUUUGGUCGCCGUCCAUUCCUUUGCGAGUAUUUUGACCUCCUUUAAUUUCUGUUGUAGGCAAUAUAGCCCAUUGCCGCAAAUUGGUUUAGCUAGUCCUCUCCUGGCUAGAUCGAGAAACUCUUGCUCCUUCAACCACGAAUCGAACAAUCUGAAAGGCUUUGGUUUCUGUGCUAUUUGCGCAAUUGAGAUAAGCAUUGCAGCAUGGUCGUUAUGCGAGCCAUUCCAAAACUCUACCCUUAUCUCUGGAAAGAGUGAAAUCUAAUCUUGAUUCGAGAAUGCUCUAUCCAGUCUAGAUUGUACAAACCUAUCCCCUGCCUAUCCCCUGCCUGCUUAUUAUUCCAUGUAAAUUCCCCCUAUUGAGGGGACCUCGAUUAACUCUGCUAGGUCGGUAGCUUCAAUGAAUUCAGAAGGCUCUCCAUGAACAUAAACCCCAGCCCCUGGUCCUCUCCUUUCCUCUGGGUUCUUAUUUCAUUGAAAUCACCCAGCACUAACCUCUGGAGUUCUCCUUUCCUCUGGAGAUGAUAUUAGGUUGGAUGUUCUUAACUGUGUUCCACAACGGUCUCCUAGCUUCCCUUGUGUUGUUUGCAUAUACUACGUAGAUAAAGAACACCAAUCCACCCUCGUUGUAUACCUUAGCAUGAAGUAUUUGCCUAUCCAACAAGAUUGGAACCACCUUCCAAUGGUCUUUUUUCCAUAAAAUCCAGAUUGAGUCUGAACAUUCUUGGUCAUGUGGGAUGUUGUUUGAAAUUACCUCUCACUCCUCCGAAAAAUUGUCUCUUACUGUUUGGAAUUGUUUGGUUUAAACUCUAGUCUCUAAUAGCGCUACUAUGUCUAAGUUCUUUUUAAGCAUCACAUUUUUUACUUCAUUCUGGAUUAGAGGGGAGUUAAGCCCUCUAACAUUCCAGGUCAUUAGCGCCAUUGUUUGGGACUAAUGACCUAGCGGUGAUGGGAUGGCUUAGUCUAGUUAAUUGCCCGGGUGGCCUUUGCCACCUCUGCAAUUGGGGAAGAUUUUUUGCUCGAUGAAGCAUUCGAAGAGUUGGCUUAGACACUAAGACAUUACAUUACAACACCUAAGGCAUUACAAUCAUGUUUAUAUUUCUUUGAUGGACAAGAUCCUAUCAAAGAAACCCCCGUUUGUUGAUAUCAAACGUCUACCAAAGUAUCCCAUCAAGAGGAAGCCUUCUUUGAGCAAUGUUGGUUCGUCAUCUUCUAGAACCAAAAAAAUCAUAUCGUACGGGAAAAUUAAAGUUGAGUCUUUUAGGUUUUGAAGAGGGUCAAACAUUUGAAGAUAGAGUGAGGUCAAGAAAGACCGAGGAAAAUCGAUAAAGGAUCGUUGCUGAACAUUAUAAAGUUCAAGAUAAAACAAAAUUGUCGUUGAUUGCGGUGCGAAGUUUUUCAUCACUAGUGGUGUUGCGUUCAAUUUAACCAGAAACAUGGAAUUGCAGGAAAUUUAUCAAUCUUUUAGACAAUCUGAAUUUUGACUACAUUAAAUGACAUUAAGGUUUUAGCAAAAGUUAUUAGACGUUACGGUCUGAGCUACAUUAUACCCUCGCCUUAUUUUCGGAUCUCUUUUGGAGAAAAAAGUUCAGAAUAUUUACAUGAGAUUAUCUAUAAUCGGACAUUUCUGUCGUGUAGUGUGACUGCCCAGAAUUCUUCUUCUUAUUGCACUAUUCUAUUUUUUCUAUUUAUCUGAAUAUAAUUCAUUAAUCAAACAAAUAAGUAUGACUAUUUACUAGUCACUAUUAAUAAAAAUAAUGAUAUUUAACGGAUUUCUUGCUCUACAUUCGAAGAUUAACUACCACACACAUCCGGUUAGACUUCCCUUGUUGGAAUCCACUAAAACCGAGCUGGGGUUAGCAUCUGCAAUUGAGGAGACACAAUUGCAGAGAGAUAUGGCACUGCUAACAACUCAAGUAGUAGUGAAUUGAGUGGAUUGGUUUUUCCGACAAAAAGAUACGAUGUUAAAUAGCCUCACCUGGGUUUUUUUCACCUUCCCACUAUUAAAGAUCAUCACAAUAGAUGAUUAUCAACAUAUAUUGGACAAACAUGAAAUAUCUCUUCCCUAUCAACAGAUGAUCGUAGAUAGAGAUAAACAACUUCAUAGUUAAGGAAUGUAACAUAAUAUAACAAGAUGGAAGGAACCAAAGGUCUUCGACAGAAUGUAACUAUCUAUAAACAUAAGGGAAUGAGAAAAAAAAAAAUAGUAAUCAGUUUUACCACCAUAUAUCAUCACUAUCAUUCAUAUCUUGGUGCGGACUUAGGUACGAGGACAUAUCCUUGAAGAUAAUGGGAAUGAGAAACUCGAACGACAAUUAGAUUAACAAAAAAGAAGACAUUUUUUUCACUAUUUUAGAGAAUAUCUAUGAAAAUGUCCAUUAAAAUUUCAAAAUAAAUGUGGAAAAAUGAAAUGACAAUAAAUAAAUAAAUAAAUAAAAGUUACCUUUUUAAUUUUAAUGUUUCCGUAAAAUAUCAACAAAUGAUGGUUGAACAAAAUUUGAUCUGUACAUGACAGAAGGAAGUUUAUCAAGAAAAAAUUAAAAAAGAAACACUGAAACACCAAAUCCUAAAUGAAUAAAAUAGGAAAAUCUCCAUCAAAUCUCUUUCUUUAAGUAAAUAUAUAUCUAUUUCUUGAAUAUAUAAAUUGAUAUUAUUAUAACUAUUUAGAUCUCUUCUCUCCUGAAAAUCCAGAGGUAAUUCCAGAUCUACGUCUAACCCCAACUCCCAAACUCUAACAUUUGAAAAAGGCAUCGAUUAGAAAAAUAAUUAAAAGAGGGGAAGAUCAGUGUCGGUGGAAAAUGCAGCAGCAGUAAUAAAAUUAAAUACAGAGACACGAUAUGGGAAAGAUGAAUAUCGGUAAUAAAAUUAAGAACAGAUCUGAUUUGACCUUUGAAUUUAUGGCAUCGGUGGUGUAUCGACGGAUUUGAGAUCUACAAAACCCUCCUCCUCUGCUUGAGUUGUGCAUUUUCCUAGUCUAGAUGGAGAAGUUGUGAAGAGUGAAAAGUGGGUUUUAUCAUAUAUUAGGGUUUUGAGACGUACAGGUUGGAUGAUAAUAAUAAACUUUUGGUGUUGGGACGGACGGGUUUUAUUAUAAGAUAAAUCCACUGGGCUUGGGCAUUCGUG
rnacentral:lncRNA from 1 species